GAUCGGCGGAGACAUCGUAAACAUGCAUGGUUCUUAGCGGUGCUUCAGUUAAAUUACAACCACCUACUGCGUAUAUCUUACCCUCAAGAACGGUUACACCUGGACAAAAAUAGUAAAAUAUUUAAACAUUCAAUAACCAUUCAAUAACCCAAGGCAUAUACCUUGGCCCAACGAACACAGUAUUGCAUGUAACACACACGUUUAUCGUACAUUGUACACACGUAUUAUUGUAUUUGCUGAGAUGCCUGCAUGCGAAAUUCUGAGAUAACUGAAGAAUCGAUUGAUUUAACCGUUACUGCGUAAUUUUGGUUUUGAGACCAGCAAUGUGAACUUGGCACCCGACUUUGGAAAAUCAAAUUUUUUGUAUAGACUUAUAGAUUUAGGUAUGUAGUUGUUUUUAGUACCAAAUUUUUCGUUUGUAGUAGACCCAAAAAAAAGUUAUAGCAUCAGAAAAAAAGCCCAUCCACCGGCUUUGAAAAAAAUAAAAUCUAAUCACUGAUUCCUACAGAGAAUCGUUUGUAGUUGAUUGUAAUAAAAGAAUUUCCGUUUGUAGUAGCAUAGAAAAAAAGUUAGAAUUUUUUUUUUUUCAAGUUGUUUGUAGUCAUAUAUAGUUACAUUCAUUUCCACUGUAGUUUUUCGGAAAUUCACGUGUAAUAGAUAUACUACGAGCAUUUGCUCUGACAUCGUUUACAUAUUGUUUCUAGCAGCAUUUAUUUUGUUAUUAGCUUUUCGAAAACUAAUGGGGAGUUAAUAUACUGCGAAUUCUAUCUCAAAGAUCAUUUCUAGUUGUUUGUAGUAACAUCUAUUUCGUUUGUAGUCGUUUGUAGUAGCUUCGUUUCGUUUGUAGUAACAUUUAUUUCGUUUGUAAUUGUUUGUAGUAACGUCUAUUUUGUUUAUACACGUAGUAGCUUCAAAAUGUACGAAAUAAAUGCUACUACAAUCGAAAGAAAGCUACUACAAACAACUACAAACGAAACAAGGCUACUACAAACGAAAUAAAUGUUACUACAAUCAACUAGAAAUGAUCUUUGAGACAGAAUUCGCAGUAUAUUAACUCCCCAUUAGUUUUCGAAAAGCUAAUAACAAAAUAAAUGCUGCUAGAAACAAUAUGUAAACGAUGUCAGAGCAAAUGCUCGUAGUAUAUCUAUUACACGUGAAUUUCCGAAAAACUACAGUGGAAAUGAAUGUAACUAUAUAUGACUACAAACAACUUAAAAAAGAAAAAAAAAUUCUAACUUUUUUUUCUAUGCUACUAUAAAUGGAAAUUCUUUCACUACAAUCAACUACAAACGAUUCCCUGUAGGAAUCAGUGAUUAGAUUUUAUUUUUUUCAAAGUCGGUGGAUGGGCUUUUUUAAUGAUGCUACGACUUUUUUUGGAUCUACUAUAAACGAAAAAAGUGGUACUACAAACAACUACAUACCUAAAUCUAUAAGUCUAUAAAAAAAAUUUUGAUUUUCCAAAGUCGGGUGCCAAGUUCACAUAGCUUUUGAGACCCUCUAACCGUACACGCGGUUCAAUUGUAUCCGGCGCGAUUUUUAAUGAGUAAAAGAUUUUAAAAAAUUGAGUUAAAUUAAGACUAGAAUGAUAGAUUGGAAAAACAAUGUGCUAAAAUAUAUUGUUAUUCGAAUGUAUAAAAUAAAACACGUAAAGUGAACUGUUAUUGGAAAAAAUGAUGUAUUGAUGAUAAAAAAUCAUAAGUUUAUUAUAAAAAAAAAAAACUGAAAAUUAAAGUUGUGUGACGUGAUUUUUCGAUUCACAGUCACAAGGCGACUCCGGCUAUCGAUUCAGAUAACAUUCUCGGCUUACUGGUUCCCUUCGAGUCGUCACCCUGCUCAGAAGCUACGUUCUCGGGUUUAUUCGUUUUCGUAACAAAUUUUGUUUGUUUCGCGUUCAAAAAACGACUGACGCGGGAAAUUGACCCUUUGUCGUUUAUUUCACCUACCCAACAAUUUUUUUAGAAAAGAAAGCGGCAAUACCACGAUUAUUUUUAGACCUAUUCAUGGAGUUAAAAAUUGUGCAGACACGUAUGGCCCAAGAGUACGAAUUCUGAUUCUUACAAGAAAUGAUGCUCCAUGUAACCAUUCGUUUGACCGAGGAAAUCAACACAUCCAUAUCGAUUAACAAGUGCACGGAUUUCAAAACAAUUUGAGGGAUUCAAUUGUGUACAGAGAAAAUCACCGCAAAUAUAAAUGGCAAUUUCAGCUUGUAAAGAACUUGCAGCGGCUAAUAAAGGCCGCACGUUAUUUUCAUUUACAUGAAUCAUAUUACCAUACAUAAAUUGAACAAGAUCGUUCAGAACAGUGUGAUCUAUAUCAUGCAGUGCAACACAGACUGGCCCACGAGCCUUGAACUUCUCCAACAACUCACGGAAAAUUAAACUGCUCGCUGCCAAGACCAUUUUAUUUGCUGGUACUGCUAAAUCAACAUCAGCCACCAAGAUUACAUCCCUAAAAAUAUUUAUCUUACAUAAUAUUUCAAACAUAAUAUUUCCUAAAAUUUUUAUUAUACAAAACAUCAAUGCUUCUGUUUAAAGGAACUUAUUGGUCUUCUUUGUCAUUAAAUAUAUGUUUAUUAUAAA